AUUGAACGCUGGCGGCAGGCCUAACACAUGCAAGUCGAACGAGUGGCGGACGGGUGAGUAAUGUCUGGGAAACUGCCUGAUGGAGGGGGAUAACUACUGGAAACGGUAGCUAAUACCGCAUACCAUCGGAUUUGCCCAGAUGGGAUUAGCUUGUGGGUGGGGUAACGGCUCACCCAGGCGACGAUCCCGAGCUGGUCUGAGAGGAUGACCGGCCACACUGGAACUGAGAAACGGUCCAGAAUCCUACGGGAGGCAGCAGUGGGGAAUAUUGCACAAUGGGCGCAAGCCUGAUGCAGCCAUGCCGCGUGUAUGAAGAAGGCCUGCGGGUUGUAAAGUACUUUCAGCGGGGAGGCGUUACCCGCAGAAGAAGCACCGGCUAACUCCGUGCCAGCAGCCGCGGUAAUAC
rnacentral:rRNA from 1 species